UGUUCCCCUCAAUUGCUACCAGCAACCAUCCGUUGAGAGCUCGAAGCGGAAGUCUAGUAAGACGAGUGCCGAAGCGAAAUCGAAACGUAUUUGUGAAGAAGUUCUGCCGGGUGUUCUUGAUGACCCGGUGCGUUUCUCUGACCCCGGCACUUGGAUUAGAGGUUUACACAGCAAGCGGCAGACUAUCAUGGAGUCCAGGGAGAAGCGGCGGAAGAAGCGCUCUGAGCUGUCCAAGCGUCACAGCCAUGCUUCUCACCAGCGCAUGCGUAUCAUUGCUGAGUUGGCGCGGGAAAAAG